GAUGAACGCUAGCUACAGGCUUAACACAUGCAAGUCGAGCGACCGGCGCACGGGUGAGUAACACUUAUCCAACCUUCCCUUUACUCGGGGAUAGCCUGUCGAAAGAAAGAUUAAUACCCGAUAUAAAGGAUGGGGAUGCGUUCCAUUAGGUGGUUGGGAAGGUAACGGCCCACCAAGCGUUCGAUGGUUAGGGGUUCUGAGAGGAAGGUCCCCCAGAUUGGAACUGAGACACGGUCCAAACUCCUACGGGAGGAAGCAGUGAGGAAUAUUAGUCAAUGGGCGUUAGCCUGAACCAGCCAAGUAGCGUGAAGGAUGAAGGCUUAUGGGUAGUAAACUUGUUUUAUAUAAGAAUAUGUAUUAUAUGAAUAAGGAUCGGCUAACUCCGUGCCAGCAGCCGCGGUAAUAC
rnacentral:rRNA from 1 species